AAGAGGCAGGGACUAGUUUCUUAAGUGUUUGUUCUCAUUUGCAGUUUCUGUUGAGUAUGAGAAGAGAAAAAAAUAAGAUAAAAAAGGGAUGUAGAGAGGAAAAAAAAAUAGAAGUGGCUUUGGGUCUCAUGCUGGGGAGAGGUGUUCUGGUGGGUGCUUGGCAGAGUCUCCAGGAGAUCACACACCUCUUGCGAUGCAGGAUAGAAGCUCCCACACCCUGGACAUCCUCAGGACCUACCACAUCCACCAGGUGGCUUCUCCAGGGUAGACAUAGAUACGCGCAUGUCUGAAGACCAACAGAAGACCAGCUGGUGGGAUCGUAAAGACAACUUUCCUACAAAUGUUACAGGCACAAUACCCGGAACACAGGAAGAUUGAUAUUUGGCAAGAUGAUGGACUUCAAAAAUAACUUUGGAUUCUCUGACCUGCUUCACUAAUGCAUGCUGCUGUAAAACCAGGAUGAAGACAAACAGCAUUCUGAACCACAUUCAGAGGCAUUUCUGACUAAGCUUGGUUAGGAGUUCAAGACAAGCCUGUGAAAGACCGCGAGAUGGUUUCUAACAGUAUCACUGGCCUAAGUUGACAUGGUGUCAUUUCACUGCAAGUAUUGAGGUUUAGAAAAGUUCUUCAAGAUUUGACCCGAGGAUGAAGCUAUAAGGACCCAUUGCCAAGAAAUUCUGCUGGAUACACAGCUCCACCCCCUCACCCAGGGGACUACUGAUGUGUUUGCAUAGCAGAACUAUUUAUGAAGAUACUUUUGUGCAAGAUAUGAGUGUGCAAGGCAAGAUUUAGCACUCCAUGGUGAGCAUGGCUGAGGUGACCGCAGAUUAAAGCACCCACACUGGAAGAGGAAAACAGCUGCUUUCCAAGCCCUACCCCAAUGAGUUCAUGAAGACUUUAUGGCAAGUUGAACAGCUUCAAAGAAACACCGAGAAGUCCCCCCUGCUCGUAACCGGUGGCCUAGUCCUGGGGGAACAAGCAGAGGUAGGAACCGAACCCUUCUCAGCCAGGUGACAGAGCUCAACCCCAGUCUGCCUCUUUGUGGGCCAGCAGCACAAUUAAUCUCCUACGUGAGAAGGACACAAGGUGUUAUGUUUUGCAUGAAGUCCAGAUCUCACCAUCUAUUUGCUUGGGUCCUUCAGGCACGGCAGCUCAGGGAAUGCCAGCUCUGCCAGUUGUGACACAGGCUCAUCUGCUUGGCCAGAGCAGCAGCCAGUAACUCCAGGGCUUGGUCAUAUCUGAGCAGAGGUUUUGAGGACGCUCAUUUAAGCAUUCACAUCCAAAAUCACUGUUACAGAGAUAGAAAUACUCUAGUGGGUCUAGCCCAUAGCACUAAACAAUAUAAAAGUUGCCUUUCCUGUGAUGCAAAUAUCAUAUGAUAAAAACCAAUAUAACAGAAACUGCUGGUAGACAGUCUAAGUGGGUUAAUACAGUUAUUAUCCAAGCCUUGCUUCAAGCUGUGGACUGAUAUUUUCCACAAUCCGCUAAUUGUUCAUGAACAUCCAAGCUAGCAAAUUAAAGUAAACCCAUUUUAUCACUCAGAUUUAAUGAUUUUCUGCUGGGAAAUGUUCAAAAAUGUCCUUCUUUGAAAUACUUAGCUCAUCAGCAAAUUCACCAUCAGUUGUUCAUUUCUUCUCCACUGAAGGUCACUUUGAAAUUUUCACAUUUUCCUUUAAAAGGUUUGUAUAUAAGAUGACCACUGUGAGCACGAAGAACUUUUACUUCUCCUUGAGCUUUUAGUUCAUAAUGGUGUUUGAACAUUGUAAGCCUGUGAGUACUGUAAGAAAGUGAAUAUUCAGAUCCAGAAAUUUCAAAUCCAGGUGAAGUGAACUUGCUGAUUAACUCUGUGAAUGAAAUUAGUAGUUCAGCAGAGGUUCUGAUGACAGCAAAGGAAAAUCUGUCUUAAAAUAUAGUAAAACCUGCAGGAAAUACAAGGUACCUGCUGAGAAAUCAGCUUUCUCUUUAGCUAUAACGUUUAAUCUUUUUGACUCUUGCCUAGUUCUUCGUCUGGGGUAGAGGGAACGCAGGUACAGAUUUCACAGUGCUGUCACUGCCAGUGAAAUGUUCAUAUUAAUCUAGAUUUGUAUGCUGUAUAGCUGUUGGCAACGAGGACAGUUAACAUUCCACUAUCACUUUCCCUUCAAGGAUACUGAAGAGCAUUAAAAACAUUAAGCUUUGAGGUUGGUAAUUUACUAAUGAGAACACUGAUUCAAAGAGAAAUUAGAACCUUAAUCUCUCAUCCAUUGAAGCCAAUAGAAAUCAUUUUGUGAUUUCCUUGGGCAGACUCUGUGUAGCUUGUAAAAGGUCACAAAAGAAAUCACAGAAAAAUUAGACUGAAGUUCAAUAAUUUUUUGCUCAUUCAGUAAGAGAAGAAUAGCUGCCCCUUAUGCUAUGCCUGUGCCCUUUAAAUCUGAAUCCCUUUUCCUUAAUGCAGUUGAGAAAUAUUCCAAUAAAUUUAGAUUUCUAAGAUCACAUUUCCGUGUCACCACCAGCUGUGUGCUGUAGCAGAGGAGACAUGGAACAACUGAUAGCUUUGGAGCACUAUUAGUUUUCAUUCAGGCUGAACAUCACAGCUCUCCUCCAUGGGAUCCAAGCUGGAGCCUUCCCUGGUGGUGGAUGCUGAAGCUCCAAGCAGAUCCUGGAAACAAAGAUCUCUUGGACAAGUUUCCUAACAGAAGAAGCAUAAAGCCAGUCCCACCAAACUGAAGAACCAAAGCUUUUGCAUCCUGCUUGCAUGCUCACAAUUACAUUAAGCAUUUUAGUACAAUGGAAAGCCAUACCUCAUGCCACAUAAAUGAAAUUUCCAAAUUCUUGGAAGUAGCUAAACUUCACCAAAAACCAAUUCCAUACUGCUGAGACCUUUCAUUGAACUAAAGCAUCUAGUUUUCAGGGUGACAUAAUGACAUUGAAGAAAUCACAAGUUCUUCAAGCCUGUUGUCUUAUAGGUAGUAUUCUCAAAGGCCUGAUCCAAAGCACUGUGUAGUCAGAAGCAAACAUUUCAACUUGGGCCUCAUGCAAUGUUUUGCAAGAUCCUCCAUCUCUGGUAAUAAUUCAAGCAGUUUAUUACAGAAUUUCAUAAUGCAAUAUGCAUUGCUUGUGUGGCUAGCAACCUUUAUAUCAACAGCGUAGAUAAAUGCCAGUACUGCUAUCAUAAUACACUUCAACUGAGGUAAGAAAUAUAGUGCUGUAUUUACAAAUUUGAUCCAUUCAGGGCCCAGGGCUGUAGCAACUUAUAUAUAGGAGCAUUUAUGCACAAAACCACUGGAGCAUACACAUGAUUAUUUAUCAAGAUGGUCUACGUGUAGUGCUGGUAUUAUGCAUUAGCACCUACUUGAUAUAACAGGAAUAAACAUUUCAUGAAAGAACACAAAGGACGCUGGAAAGGUAUAUCACAAAAAAAUUUAUAUAGUGAACCCCUGGAAUAUUUAUGUUUUACAUUCCACAUAAAGUGUGUGAGAGCUAGCCAUGUAAAGCCUUCCCAAAACCAGGUAAGAAGGACAAUUUUAUAAUGGUGAUAUAACUGAAAGAGCUUUCAUUGACUUUAAGUACAAACCUUAUAUUUUCUAUUGAUGUUCCUUCAACUUAUGAAUCCCAUAAAGAUCAUUCCACACUAUGAUAGAAAGAAUAGAUGUAUUUCCAUGAUAUGCAGAACAGAUUUAAACAUUUGCACUCAUCUGGAUUUAGCAAACUGUAGUGCGCAGUGAGUGGCAGAUGUAUUGUUCUGCUGUGCCAUAUAAAGUAUUAUUUCAGAUGUUUGAAAUAAUGCAUAUAGUUAAAGGUUAUGGUAGAAUAACAUUAAAGAAAUUCAUUGUUUCUUGGCCUGAUGGUAGUAUGAAUGAUAAAAAGGUGAUGACUAUUAUAGCCUUGAAGCAUUACAGUCAUUUUGCUAUGAUAAUAGUCCUCAGAUUUGGUUAUAGCCCUAAUAUGUUACCUGAAAGUUAAAAUCAGAUUCACAGGUCUGUUGGCACAUAGUGAUUACUUAUUGUCUAGGAUGUAAUUUCUAAAAGAAAAGGAGUGUUGAUCUUGAGGAUAAAUCCUGGUUUCUUUCUUUCUUUAUUUUUUUAUUAUUUAAUUUUAAGAGGAGCUAAGCAUGGAGUUUUUAUUUCAGAGAAUGAAUCAAUUCAGGAUUGUCAUUUCUACCUUGAAAUAUGCCAUGAUGAAUACCUCUCCUGCUCUAUGCUUUUAUUACUCUUUGUACCAAAUUAUUAUGGACCACAGGCAGCUGAUGUUUCUGGCAUUACAAGCAAUAGAGCAAAGCUGUCAAGUGACCGAGAGCUUCAAACCUGCCCCUGCAUGAUUUGAGAGCCCCGAUGGAUUGUUUUGGUUUUACUUUUGAGAUAUUUGGGGAUAUUAAAGUGCCCAUUACCACAGUAUUAGUACUUCACCAUCCUUAACACUUGCUUAAUCCAUCAGUUUUAGAGUCCCAAGUCAAGGACUUGUUGUCAGUGAAUUACUGCUGCCAAUGCAAUGCAAACUGUCAGAUUGCAAUCUUAGCCAUAACAAGGUCACAUAAUAAAGCACAUAACAGAGGAAAGACUGUAAUGAUUAUUGUUUUCAUUGUGUAUAAUAUCUAAGUACAUACUAAAGCUUAGUAGUAGACAGAAGAGCUGUGAAAGUCAAGGCAUUUCUUUUGUAUUUCUGAUUCUCUCUCUCUGAACAGAAAUAAAAAUAAAUAAAUUUAAAAAAAAAUAAAAUGAUAACAAUAAUGUUCCAGCCAAAGCAGAGCUGGUUCCAGACAAGCUGAGAAAGAAAUGAAAUGGUGUCACAAUUAUGACAAUGCAGAAUAGAAAUUCAAUAUCUGCUCUGUAGUUUGUGUUCUGUGUUUCUUUAGGGGACUAGAAAAUGUUUGAUUAAAAAGGGAGUCAUGUUCACGGGGUGCAUUACUCAUUCCAGAUUUCACAUUGUAACUCAGGCUAGUCAAAUAUGUUUCUUAGCCCUGAAUCUGUCUGAUAUCUCUGUAUUUCUAGAGCUUCACACAAACGAUUGGAAAUCAAACAUUCACAAGAGAUAACGCAGUAAAGCAUUAAACAUAACGGAUUUUAUGUGUCCAGAGCAAUAAUUGAUUUCAUGUUAUGCUAACCUACUCUGCAGGUUUAAGCAGUGAGGACAGCUCCAUUUCAUAGGGUAGUCUAUGAAUUAUUAUUUUUAGGGUUUUUAAAAGCACUGAGGCAAUUUACGUUUCUAUUUCCUUUUUCAAACAUUUAUAUGGAGAAUUUAUAUGAAGA